rnacentral:rRNA from 1 species
AUGUUUGGAGGCGAUCCUGCUUUGGUCUCAUCCUAUUGGAAUUCAGUAAGAUCAUAUCAUCGAAGGAUUGUUAACAGCCGGGACCUCAUAUUCAGAAAUAACAAGGUCAUCCAUUUUAUUGGUUUGUGCACACCUUCUGCCUGCAAGUUGUUUUCAGAAAUUAUUUCUAGAUACCUCCAUGAAGUCUCCCAUGUUGACCAGCAAGGAACGAGGGUUGGUCGGGACGCCGUACCACACGCCGUCUCUGAGAACCUGCAGCGCAGGAACAUCGUUGUCCACGAGAAGAGUCGCCAGAACGCCGUCGUCCGAGUGAGCCUUGAAGCCAAGGACGAUAUCAGGUGUCGGACAUGGCACGUAGUGGUUGAUCCUAACAGUUGUGGGAGCCUUGUCGCUAAAUUGGUUAAGGAAGUAAUCUUCCUCAAGCUCCAGAAGCCUGGCCAUUGUCCCAAGGAUAAUGUGUUUUAUCCUCUUGCUUUUUGCUGUGUACUCUUGUAG